GAUGAACGCUGGCGGCGUGCCUAAUACAUGCGAGUCGAGCGAACGGACGAGAAGCUUGCUUCUCUGAUGUUAGCGGCGGACGGGUGAGUAACACGUGGGUAACCUACCUAUAAGACUGGGAUAACUUCGGGAAACCGGAGCUAAUACCGGAUAAUAUUUUGAACCGCAUGGUUCAAAAGUGAAAGACGGUCUUGCUGUCACUUAUAGAUGGAUCCGCGCUGCAUUAGCUAGUUGGUAAGGUAACGGCUUACCAAGGCAACGAUGCAUAGCCGACCUGAGAGGGUGAUCGGCCACACUGGAACUGAGACACGGUCCAGACUCCUACGGGAGGCAGCAGUAGGGAAUCUUCCGCAAUGGGCGAAAGCCUGACGGAGCAACGCCGCGUGAGUGAUGAAGGUCUUCGGAACGUAAAACUCUGUUAUUAGGGAAGAACAUAUGUGUAAGUAACUGUGCACAUCUUGACGGUACCUAAUCAGAAAGCCACGGCUAACUACGUG
rnacentral:rRNA from 1 species